CCUACGGGUGGCAGCAGUGAGGAAUAUUGGUCAAUGGCCGGAAGGCUGAACCAGCCAAGCCGCGUGAGGGAGGAAGGUCCAGAGCGUCGCAAACCUCUUUUGCCAGGGGACAAAAGCACGGCCUCGUCCCCUGCUGAGUGUACCCGGAGAAAAAGCAUCGGCUAACUCCCUGCCAGCAGCCGCGGUAAUCCGGUGGAUGCGAGCGUUAUCCGGAUUGAUUGGUUUUAAAGGGUGCGCAGGCGGUCGAUAAAGUCGGCGGUUAAAUCGCGGGGCUCAACCCCGCCGGGCCGUUGAAACUGUGGGUCUAGAGUGCGACAGAGGUAUGCGGAAUGCGCGGUGUAGCGGUGAAAUGCAUAGAUAUCGCGCAGAACACCGAUUGCGAAGGCAGCGUGCCGGGCCGACACUGACGCUGAGGCACGAAAGCGUGGGGAUCGAACAGGAUUAGAUACCCCAGUAGUC
rnacentral:rRNA from 1 species